GUUUUUAUUCCAUAAGCGUCAUAUUUAGGUUGAAAAUUUGAAAUACUUUUGAAACAUAGUUUUACUUUUAUUUUUGUUGGAAGUAUCAUUAGUCUUCUUUUGAGGGAGCUAGAAAAUAAUGCUUGUGGUAUUUUAUUUUUAUAUAUAUGUUAUCAUCCUCUUUCUGAAGUAGUUCGAAAAUAAUGAUAGGAGUUCGGAACUAAUGUUUAUUGCAUGGCCUUAGUCUGUAGAACUCAAUAAAAACUAGUAUUGCUUGACGAAAUGGUUGGUUCGAUAUUUUAAUAGUUUUUAGU
rnacentral:misc_RNA from 1 species